UGCUGUGAGCUCGAUGAGUAAGGCGGGACACGUGGUAUCCUGUCUGAAUAUGGGGGGACCAUCCUCCAAGGCUAAAUACUCCUGACUGACCGAUAGUGAACCAGUACCGUGAGGGAAAGGCGAAAAGAACCCCGGCGAGGGGAGUGAAACAGAACCUGAAACCGUGUACGUACAAGCAGUGGGAGCCCUCUUUAUGGGGGUGACUGCGUACCUUUUGUAUAAUGGGUCAGCGACUUAUAUUCUGUAGCAAGGUUAACCGUAUAGGGGAGCCGCAGGGAAACCGAGUCUUAACUGGGCGUUAAGUUGCAGGGUAUAGACCCGAAACCCGGUGAUCUAGCCAUGGGCAGGUUGAAGGUUGGGUAACACUAACUGGAGGACCGAACCGACUAAUGUUGAAAAAUUAGCGGAUGACCUGUGGCUGGGGGUGAAAGGCCAAUCAAACCGGGAGAUAGCUGGUUCUCCCCGAAAGCUAUUUAGGUAGCGCCUCGUGAACUCAUCCUCGGGGGUAGAGCACUGUUUCGGCUAGGGGGCCAUCCCGGCUUACCAACCCGAUGCAAACUGCGAAUACCGAGGAAUGUUAUCACGGGAGACACACGGCGGGUGCUAACGUCCGUCGUGAAGAGGGAAACAACCCAGACCGCCAGCUAAGGUCCCAAAGUCAUGGUUAAGUGGGAAACGAUGUGGGAAGGCACAGACAGCCAGGAUGUUGGCUUAGAAGCAGCCAUCAUUUAAAGAAAGCGUAAUAGCUCACUGGUCGAGUCGGCCUGCGCGGAAGAUGUAACGGGGCUAAACCAUGCACCGAAGCUGCGGCAGCGACAC
rnacentral:rRNA from 1 species